AAUCUUUCCCCUCUCUCUUUCUCUUUUCCCUUCAUUACCGCCGCUUUCACCCUUCUCUCUCUCUACCCUCACGUUCUCUCCACCACACCUGCUCCCUGCCACUUCCACCACACCUCUGCUCCCCACUUCCUCUUGUUCCCCACGCCGUUCGUCUCUCUCCCACGCUCCUCUCUUCACUUUAACACAAGCAAAACCCUAUAAAUGUGUCGAAGUCAAAUCGUUGAGGGGGAGGGGGGCUAGCAUUUUUCAGAAAGGGGGAACGACAAAAAUCCCCGACAAAAAUACAAGUUUCAAUCAUCAAAGAUAUCCUUACUCAAAAAAGACCAGUCAACGAUUACUCUAUUGGUUGGUUGGGAAACUUUUGUUACUUUAAUCGGGUUCUUCGAGUUCGAGUAUAAAUCUGAGACGUCGACACCCACUUCACUGCACCCACAAAAGUCGAAGAGUCUUACUUUAAGACUCGACGUCACCCUGCAAAGGCUUGAACGUGCAUCUACCCUUCCUAUUCAACUAUCGUUCUCUCGACAUUCGUCCGAACAGAAAACAAAGAGAGUGGCUAGCCAAACGGCUAACCUUUGAAAAACUCUACUCUUCUAUGUGAGCCAAACAUGGCUUUGGUCACCUUAUUUUAUUCUCCGAUACUUGUUUACACGCGUGAUGUGACUAACAUUUUACUUAGUUGUGCGACUUUGAUAAAUGCUUAACUGCUUAUUUUAAUCGAGCCCAUUUUUAUAUUAGGAUGUCUUAAUUAGCAGAUUUAGGUCUUGAAUCAGGUGAGUUUAGUUGUUCCUCGUAAGUUUGGCAUUUUUAGUUAAAAGGAAAGAUAUGUGUCCAAAGCAUCAUAAAUUUCACACACUAGUGUUAGCUUGUUUUUUUUUUUGAGAAAUAAAAAACGAACUAGUUCCUAUAGAUAACUGUUCCACUUUAAUUCCUUUCCGAUAUUCGAAUCACGUAUUUAAUAAAACAACCUUUGCACAGUUUAUAAUGAAUUAAUAGUCUUUUAUAAAACCUUUUAAAUUUUAUUAAUACUAAUCUUACAAUCACUCUUUUUAAUUUGUUGGUUGGCAUAACUCAUUUUCUCCAAAUAUCUACAAAACGUUAUACAUCCUGCACUUUCUCAGCUUAUUUACAACUAAACCCUUUUAUGCAAAUCAUUUUUUUCUACCAAGUCUUACUGUAAAUAGCAUCUUUACACAUCUAUUUAUAACUUUAGUAAUACUAUGAAAUAUUUUCUUAAAUAUUUUAAAAUAUUACAUCUACAUUCUUAGCCUUAAUUAAUUUACAUAAGUCCGAUCGGUUAACCAUUGUUAAUGGGUCUUAAAGGAUGUCUAAUACCUUCCCUUUAGACUAAUCGAACCCUUACCUAGAAUCUUAAAUUUCGCAAACCUUAAACAGAGUUAACUUUAAACAUAACUUUAAUAAACUUUAGGUGUCUUAAUUCACCAUAAAUAAUUAGGUGGUGACUCCUUAAAAUAAACAAAAAUAGGAAUCACCAAUAUGUUGUACUUCUAAUUUUAAUCCGGUUAAAAUGGGGUAUGACAUAUAUAAAAGGAAGUGGUAUUUUAGAUUUUUUACACAUUAAAUUAAUAUGAUGUGACUGUUACUUACACUCUCACACGCCAAACAUCAUCUGAAAUCACUUGGAUUGUUAAAGAACCAAAUACAAGAGGGUAAUUAGGACCAAUUAUUGUUUGAGAGGGUAGUGAGGAUAAAAAACCAAGCACUAUCCCAUGUUUGAUUACCAUAUCAUAAAAAUUGAAUUGGAUUAGUUGAGUCAUUUUUCAGAAGGCUUUUGUUUGAAGGAAGAUAAGAUUUGUUGAAAAGAAGUUUUAGUUUUGUAAAAUUGUGUUCCUUAACGUGAAGUUGAAGUAAUGUUUGUGCAUGUUAAUCAUUAAAAUUUGUUAGAGGUGAAUGAAAGUAGUAUCUUGUUUGUCAUUUAACAAGAAGGUGCUCUUAGAUAUACUGUCAAUCAGAUGUAAUUGUAACAACUGCGCAAUGUAAUUUGGAGGCAAAUGUAAAGCUCAACUAAAGAAUUUACACGAGUUCUAUUAUUUGUUUUCGUUUUCUAAUUUCAAUUGCUUUUUUCUACUAAUCAGGACGUUCGCGGCACGGGAAAAGCUCUAAAAUCAGAUAUAGCAAGCAUGCAGAAUAGUAAUUGCAUGUCCUCUGGUAGUUAAUGUGCAAAAGAUGUAUUAAUUGGCAUUACACAUUGGAUCUUGUGUUGAGUUGUUAUCUUACAGAUCCUACGUACUAACAAAGGAUUGAAGAGGAAAUUGUUGGGAAGAUACAAGCAAUAAUCAAAUUGCACGACGAGGUAACAGCGGAAGAAAUACUCAAGUCGAAACUUCUCACAUUAUUUGAACCAAGAGAAGACAAUAAUCACUGGCACAAAUGGAAAUCCAGGCAGCAGCUAUACCAACAAUAAAAUAGCAAAACAAGCAAAAAUAAAUCGAAUGGAAGAGACACCAAAUUUACGUGGUAAAAACCCCUUCGAGGUGAAGAGGAAACAUUCACGGGACCUCCGGCCCACAAAAGCUCCACUAUAAUCAACAAAAGUUACAACAAUGUUCUCCAAAUGGCUAGUGUUACAACAAUGUUCUCCAAAUGGCUACAACAACAAAGCCAAGCACGGAGCAACAAUACAUAAAAGAUAGCAUCAAAACUAGUGAAGAAAGGAGAGAAAUCACCCCCAAAAACGAACUAUUAUUCGUACUCGAAAACUGGAGAUACAGAUCACAAAAUCCGAUCUCCACUGUUGAAAUCGAAGAAACAGAUAUUGAGAACCCCCAGCUCAAAUUUCAGCACGAUCCAACGGUUAACGAAUCGGAAAACACAAUUUAAAGUGGACUGCUGUAGCAGAAAAUUUCUGGACGAAAAUCUGCUUUCUCUCUCACGUUUUUCUCUCUAUAUGGCUGCUAUAAAUUACUCUUGUGUUAUCAAAAUAAGACCUAAAUUGAUCCUUUAUAUAGAGAAAAUUUUGGGCAAAAUUGGUCUGGUCCAAAUUGAAUUGAGUUUAUUAAUCCAAUUCCACAUAGGAAGAGAAAACUCAAAAACCUAAUAGAAAUUGGACGCAUGCUUAAAGGAUUCACAACAAGAUGAUGAUGCUUAAAGGAUUCACAACAAGAUGAUGAUGCCAAAAAAGAAAAUUGGCAGGUUUUAAACCAGAUGGAGAAGUUCAAGAAAGCCAAGAUUAGUACCCUUCUCUCCUUUUCAUUGUGUUCUGUUUCAUUAGAAUGAUUAAUUUUACAUUGCCCUCUUAAGAGGGAUAUAGAUGUCUACAAUA